rnacentral:lncRNA from 1 species
AAAAAUUUUUCCUCUGAGUAAAAUGUAAACUCCAAACCAUAUAAUAUAAGUGUAAGACUGGAAAAGAAUAUGCCAAGUAGAAAAAAAAAAGAUUUUUCUAGUCUUAUUUCUUUUUAGAAAGAGACUACUACUCUGAAGAAGAAAAGAACAUGGAAUCCAGGGCUGCUAUGAACGACAAAGGAAUUGCUUUUUUUCUUGGAAUCGUGAUGCUUUAUUUGGAACCAUGGAAUAAAAUUGGGUUGCUUUUAGGUUAAUGAGAUAGUUGAUAUAAAUUGCUUAGCACACUACUUAGCUGAUCGAGGUAUAUAGCUGUGCAAAAUUGGUUUUUAGUAGCAUGACCCUCAUCCUAGGGUCAGUAAAAAUAGCCUGUCUGGCAGAUCUCAGUGUAACAACUCAGAGAUUUUUGACAACUGGACUGUGCUGGUCAUAAUCUGGGUUAUAUCAUAUCACUCUAGCUAUAGAGUCUUCAGCAACAAAUCUCUUUUCAGUGUACAAAUAUACAAAUAUGUUUGGAAAUCCACAUGCAGCAUUCAACCAUCCUCAAGCAUUGUUAGAGCGAUAGGUGAUAAUCCUGCUGAUGAAAAGGGCAGUAGAAGGGAAACCUCAACUUAAUACAGACACACUGUCUGUCCCCAUGGACGACUUUCACUUGUAGUGCUGCUGGGCAGUUCCUUUUUACCUAGGAUCAAGCACUCACCCUAUGUUCUACACCAGACUGCCUCUGUCCUGCACUCUCUUCUUGUUUCCCUUACUGACAGAUACCUGUUCCUGUGAGCAAGGUAGGUAUGUGUCCAGUAUGCAAACGGAACAUGAGUUAAUGAGAUUAUCAUAGUUGUCAUGCACCUUCAGCUUCUUGGAAGUUUGAGCAUGGCCAUGGAACCCAGUUAUGGUCAGAAAUCCUGAGGGAAAGAUCACUGCAGAGCAAACUGGAGCAUGGCAGCUGACAUAUCAAAAAAACUAAGAGAAAAGAGAUAGGAGGGAGGAAGGGAUGGAUGGAUGGAGAAAGGGAAGGAGAAAGGUAGGGAAAGAAGGAGGGAGUGUGUGUGUAUGUGUAUUCUUUUUCCUGUAUUAUACAAUAUACCUUUAUAUGUUCUUGUUUACAUACACACAUGCCAUGCUUCAUAUUUAUACACACAUAUAAAUAUAUAUUCUUGUUCAUAUAUACACAUUUUUGUUCAUGUAUUCACACAUGCAUAAAUAUUCUUGUUCAUGUAUACAUAGUUACUAUACUCGUUAGCAGUUAGAAAUGUUCUUAUGGUGUAAGAGUUCUAUCUCUUUCUUACAUUGGAAUAAAUAACUCCUCAGGUACAAUUCAAAACAUUGUCAAAGAAGAAAAAGCAUUUAGCAGGUAAUUUAUUUUCUUGAUAUAUUGUUAAUAAUUAAUUAAUCAAUCAACUUCCCGUUAAUUAAAUGGCAUUUUACAUUAUCUUCUUUGCCUGAAAUCUCUUAAAGUUCAUUAUUCACUCCAUGAACCACACACCCCUUCUAAAAUUAUAUGAUUAAAUGUUGAGUGAUUAGGGAGCUUCAGGAGUCAUCUGUAGAGUUGUAAGUGCUCACUAAUAAAAAGCACAGUGCUUUGACACAGUGAUUCAGGGGAGGGGGAUGGGCCUUGUUUAUUUCUCAUGUCAUGCAGGGCUCUUGAAAGAUUACACUAGCAUG